CUGGCAAUGGAGAUAUAGGCAGUGUAGGAAGCAGUUCAGGGGAGGAGUACUGAGGGAACAAAACCCUCAGCUACUAAAUUGUUGGUCCCUGGAUUGGAACCUGGUGUAGAGGUGAGCCCAGGUUCCACUACAAGCCACUGUGGGAGCAGUGUGCUGGGGCAGCCUCUUUGGGGGCUGCUAGGGACAGUCUGGAAGGAGACUUUGAUAAUACCCUGGAAAGGGGGGGACCUUCAGUGUGACUUGGAUGGAAGGCUAAACCAUGAAGAGGCAAGCGCUGCAGCUUUGUGAGCAUGAGAGAGGUCAUGGAGUGAUUGGGACAACAGUCUGAACAACUGCAGGAAGGAGUGUCAGAUUGUGAAAGGGGACUGCUGAAAGAACCUAAAGGGACAAAAGAACUAACCUGAAAGCAAAGUAGGAGAGAGUCCAGACCGCAACAGGGGUUCAGUCUAAGAAUAAUAACUGGAACUCUGAGCUACAGAAACUUGGCAUCCUGCCUAAAUUCAACAUUUAGCUUUCAAGCAAAGGAAGAUGACAGAAUACAUAAGUCACAGAUGGAAUUAAAACAGAUGGAAAUUGAUGUAAGCCCACUUCUGUCUGGCUGCUUCCACAAGAAAGCCAUGGAACUGAAAGACAAAGAAAUGAAGCAUGACCUGGCCAUAAUGGAGUGGAGGAGACGGAACCCCCACAAGGGUGCUCAACCUCUCCAAAACUCCACAAGUGGGAGCAGUUGUGUCCAGCAUGUAAUAGCCUCUCAAAAGUAAUUAAAAUAAUAAACAAUGUAUGCUCCAUGUUGCAGAAUUGACUGGGAGAGCUCUGGCAAUAAUCAAUAAGAUGCCAAUUAUGGUAAACUAAAAC